rnacentral:miRNA from 1 species
CAGGAUGAGAAGAGUUUGGCUG